UACCUGCAGCUCAAGUGGUGAUCAUUAUUAUUGGGCCUAAAACGUCCGUAGCCGCUUUAGUAAAUGCCUGGGUAAAUCGUGUAGCUUAACUAUACGACUUCCGGGUAGACUGCUAAACUUGAGACCGGGAGAGGCUAGAGGUACUCCUGGGGUAGAGGUGAAAUUCUGUAAUCCUAGGGGGACCACCAGUGGCGAAGGCGUCUUGCUAGAACGGGUCUGACGGUGAGGGACGAAGCCCUGGGGCACAAACCGGAUUAGAUACCCGGGUAGUCCAGGGUGUAAACGCUGCUUGCUUGAUGUUAGUUGGGCUCCGAGCCCAACUAGUGUCGGAGAGAAGUUGUUAAGCAAGCUACCUGGGAAGUACGGUCGCAAGGCUGAAACUUAAAGGAAUUGGCGGGGGAGCACAGCAACGGGUGGAGCGGUGCGGUUU
rnacentral:rRNA from 1 species